rnacentral:rRNA from 1 species
CCCUUAGAUGUUCUGGGCCGCACACGCGCUACACUGAAGGAGGCAGCAUGUACUCCUGGAUCGAAAGAUUUGGGUAACCCGCGAAUCUCCUUCGUGCUAGGGAUUGAGGUUUGCAAUUAUCCUUCAUGAACGAGGAAUUCCCAGUAAGUGCAAGUCAUAAGCUUGCGCUGACUACGUCCCUGCCCUUUGUACACACCGCCCGUCGCUACUACCGAUUGAAUGAUUUAGUGAGGACUUCGGACUGGGACCGAUGCGGCUUUCGGGCUGCGUCGGUAUUCUGGAAAGAUGUCCAAACUGUAUCAUUUAGAGGAAGUAAAANUCGUANCA